GUAGAUCUGAUCAAAAUACACAUUUUAUGUCCAAUUAAUUUUUGUCAUAAAAAUAAGUUUUUGAGAAAAAUGACGUUAAUGUUGAAAACUUCAUAUGACUAAUCUAACACAAUUCGAGUUAAUUUUAUUAAAACCGGAAGGGAGUGCGGGGAGGUCCACUCACACUCCUUCCUUGCUUACAGAGCAAAACACGUCCACGCUUGUUUACUUUUCACGCGAAGCAAAGUCUACCCACACUCCCCCCUGUUUAUAGCAAAACGACAUCCACGCUUGUACUGUACCACAUGGAUUUGCGUAGCGAGGUCUACUCACCAUCUUUAUCCUCUUCAAUAUUUUAGUUUUUUGGGGUAAUUUAAGUAAACAUUAAAAUUAACUAAUAAAACUCAAUGUGUGUUAGAAGAGUUAUGUGAAGUUUUAAACAUUUAACGUUUUUCUCAAAAAUUGUUUUUAUGCAAGAAUCAAUAGGACAUAAAAUGUGUAUUUCGAUGACAUCUACAACUUUCACCUAAAAUAUUUUUCAAAAUUCCCAUUAUUUACAGAAAUAAAUGGAAAAAAAUCAUGAUUUUUAUAGUUUUUUCAUGGAUUCUGCCAUGAAAAUUUGCGCCAAUUUUCUAUUAUAUUCGUAAUCAGCGCCAAAAUACAUAAGAAUAGAUAGUUCCCAAAAAAUUGGGGGUCCGACCUAUACGGAACUUUACCUAAUAAAAAUUGGUGUUCUUCCGAAAUCUCGUCUUGCUUUUUUUCCGAGCCGUCGCGUCGGGUGUGCGAAUAAGUGUGUGAAAGUGUCUCGACCCAACGAUAUUGUACUAUUGACUCAAUCCUGCUUGAUACGUUAAGUAAUAUUUUUGUUGUUAAAAUGAAUAUGUGGCAUACAAAUAAAUUACAAUCUAAUAAUAAAAUUAUACAAAAAAAUUUUAUCUUUUUAAGACUUAAACUUUUAUCUUAAGUUUAUGAUGAUCGUUGCGUAACCAUUGUGCAUCUGCUUUCUGUCCCAAAAAUCCAAAUUCAAAUCCACUAAGAACGUAUCCAAUUUUUAAUUAAUCAUUGAAACCUUAAAGGGCAAUGACAAAUUAUUAUGUAAAAGUAUUUUGUCGAGAUGGUCACCAUAAGCCUUAUGGCAUAAGGUAUGCAAAUAAUCAUGCAAAUGAAGAAAAUCUUCCUAUUAUGAAAGAACUGACUUUAGUAAGUGAGUAAAUGAGAGAAAGAAAGAGAAAAAAUUAAACAGAUAUAUAUAAUGAAGAAAGAGAAAAAAUUAAACAGAUAUAUAUCACAUGCAUUCACUUUUUCAUAAUAAAAAACAAAUGUUUAUUUAAAAAAUUUAAUGUAAUAACGUUAUGUACUUCAUAGGCACAGAAUAAUAGCUAAAAUACAAUAUUACGCAAUGAUUACAAGAAUAAGGAGCCCCUUGAUACACUUGCUUUAAAUUUAGAUUUUCUGUAAUAAAAGUUAAGUCCCAUUUAUACAUAAAGACUGUAAACCAUUAACUUAUAUCGGUAUUGUAAAAGGGGUAGAUGGAUUUUUGAUAUUUUACGAAGUACACGGGGAUUGUACGAUUCAGUUUUUUUAAAUUCAGUUUUCUAUUCAGCUGAAUUCAAAAAUCACAGCCAAAAUGCUCCAAAUAUCCAAGAAAAAAAUUUUGAUAUUUUAAAUAAAAGAAAAAAAAUUGAUUUCAUCAUUUUUUCAAGAUAUCUAAUUAUUUUUUUCUCAUAUUUCCAUUAAAAUAGUAACUUUUAUUUUUACUAAUAAAUAAAUAAUUUCGACUUAAUUAUCAAUAACUAAAUGCCAGUCGGUCGAUGGUACCAUGUAAAUAUUUUCUUGCGAUUCGCUUAUUUGUUUAUAUAUGAUUUGUUUAUUCUUUUAUUCUUUGCGCCUUUAUAUACAGGGUGUUCCUGAACAUGUUGGUUAACGUUCAUAAAAAAGUAGAAGGGAUUGAGAUGAACAUAAAAGUCCAAUAUUGCCUUAGGUUAAAUCCAAUCUAAUAAUCAAGAUAUUAGCGUAUGGGAUCUACAAACAUCUAAUUAAUUUCUAUCGUAAUUGUGAACAAUAAUUUAAUGAAAACUUAUCGAACAUUCAUACGAUAGAUCUUUUCUUCCAUGUUAUAGUUCGAGCAGAUCGAGCUCUUCCCUCGGCGCGCACUCAUUCGCAUAAUUUGAAAAAUUAAUACCUCGAUAUUGGUGGACUUAACCCAAGACCUAACCCAAGACUUAACCAAAGACAAUAUUGGACUUUUAUAUUCAUCUCAAUCCCUUCUACCUUUUUACGAGCGUUGCCAACAUGUUCAAGGGCACCCUGUAUAUUUUUCCUACAACCUAUUUAAAUUGUAAAAAUUCAAACACAAUAACAAAAAAUUACUCUUUCAGCACAAAAUAAGGUAAAUGAGAAGCGUAAUCAAAAUUGCAGGAACACAUUAAGUUAAAUUAGUGGCUUUUUAUAAUUAAAGAUUAGAUUUUUUGUAUUUUUUAUAGAUAUGUGUUAUACUUGCGUAUAUAAACAUGAAAAAACAUAAAACACAUAAUUAGCUACAAAUAUACGUUUUCAAAAUCAGAUCUGUAAUAUCUGGUAAAAAAACAUUUUAACAUACAAAAAAUAAUAUUCUACUUUAUAAACGCUCUAGGAUAAUAUCCCCCCCCCUCUCUCUCUCUCUCUGUCACUGCUAUAAGAUUAUCUUAUUUAUUUAAUAAUAAAAACAAAAGCUACAAUUUUAAUGAAAACAUGAGAGAAAUAUGAGAUAACAGCGCUAUAUAUACAAUUUAUAUAUUUUAUUUUAUUUUUUAUAUUGCUGACACGACCCAUUUUAAUCUAUCACCCCUCGUAACUUUGCAGGGAGCGACCGUAUAGAAAAUGUUUCAGACAAAAGUUCAAGGGGGACAUAAGAUGGUGACCUUGGCUUUGACCUUGGAAUCAAAUUUGAAAAUCAUUUGUAUGUCAACUUAAUUCUUUUUAAUGAAACCCUCUCCUUUUUAUUACAUGUUCUUGAAGAUCAUCUCGAGAGCUUUCCAAAACACUACAAUUAAAAGUGUUUUGCUUAACUACUUUUUAAUUUAUAAGACUUGAAAGUUAUAGUACCGCCGGUAUUAGCAUUACUCAAAGUGUAGCACGUGGAGACUGCUCGGUCGGAUUUACACCUCGUGUGUGUGUGUGUGUGUGUGUGUGUGUGUGUGUGUGUGUGCGUGCGUGCGCGUGUGUGCGUGCCAUGCAUGCGUGUGUGAUAACGUAUUUCAGAGAAUAACACCAGCUUGGUGUUAUUAUAACAUGCUUGAAAGAGUUCGUAAUAAUUUUGACGAGAGAUUGCGUUUAUGUACCCAAGAAAGGUACAUAACUUUUGGUUAUAGCUAUAUUAAAGCGGUACUGUAACUUUCAAGUCUUAUAAAUUAAAAAGUAGUUAAUGCUUUUAAUUAUAGUGUUUUGGAAAGCUCUCGAGAUAAGAAUAUGUAAUGAAAAGUAGGCGGUUUUAUUUAAAAAAAUCAAGUUGACACACAAAUGUUCUUUAAAUUUGAUUCCAAAGUUAAGGCCAAGAUUACCAUCUUAUGUCCCCUUUAAAGCCAUACAACAUUUGUCUGAAACAUUUUUCUAUAUAUAAUAAUUACUCCCUGCCAAGUUACAAAGGGUAAUAGAUUAAAAUGGGACACGCUGUAUAGUUAAAUUAAUGUCAGCAUAUAACUUAUUUAUUAAUUAAUAAUAUUGAUAUCUAUUUUAUACAAUUAAGAUAAAUUAGCCAAUAACAAACUAACAGAGAAUAUAUAGAACAUUUCUAUUUAUUAAAUAAUUAUAAGAUAAACAAAACAUUUUGACUUACUAAGCCUUCUUCCGCAAUAUGUACAAAAAUACAUGUAGAUAAAUUAAAACACUACAUUCAAUAAAUAAAUUAUUGUAUUAGAUGUACAACUUUGCUUCCGCCGUUUUCCAAUAGAUGGCUGUAGCGGUAACUGGUGGUCGAAAUAAAUAAUCGUAGACAUCAUACAAUAAGCUUAGGCAUUUGUAAACAUAACGCCAUCAAAAUAUUAGUUGAUUUGUGUCUGCAUCAUAAAGUUAUUCUCGAUUGAAAAUAUCAGCUUACGAGCCAAAUUCUUGUCAUUUGCGAGAGAUUUCAAUUUUUUGCUUCAAUAUAAAGAUAUCUGCGACUGAGGCUCAUCGAAUGCUCUCAAAUACGUAUAGUGAAGCCGGUAUUAUUAAAAGAACGUGCCGAGAGUGGUUUCGACGCUUCAAGAAAGGUGAUUUUUACGUCGAAGAUCGGCAUGGCGGUGGAAGAGAAAAGGUUUUCGAAAAUGCAAAAUUGGAGGCAUUACUUGAUCAAGACUCGUGUCAAACAAAAGAAGAAUUGGCAGACUCAUUGGGAGUGACUCAACAAGCCAUUUCAAAACGCCUGAAAAUCAUGGGAAUAAUUCAGAAGCAAGUAAAUUGGGUGCCGUACGAGUUGAAGCUGAGAGAUGUUGAACAGCGUUUGUUUGCUUGUGAACAGCUGCUUGCAAACAAAGACAGAAAAGAUUUCUGCAUCGUAUUGUGACUGGGGACGAAAAAUGAGUUCAUUACGAUAACCCCAAGCGCAGAAAAUCAUAGGGACUUCCUGGCCAUGCUUCCAUGUCGACGACCAAACCAAAUAUUCACGGCUCCAAGGUCAUGCUCUAUAUUUGGUGAGAUCAGCUCGGCGUAGUGUAUUAUGAGCUACUAAAACCGACUGAAACAAUCAGGCGAUCAGUAUCGAAAACAAUUGAUGCGUUUGAGCCGAGCACUGAAAGACAAACGGCCGCAAUACAACGAUAGACGAUUAAAGUAAUGCAGCAUGACAAUGCUCGAUGCCCCAUGUCGCAAAGCCCAUCAAAAUAUACUUGGAAACGUUGAAAUGAGAAGUCCUACCCCACCCUUAUGAAGAAGUGAAAAAUGGAUUGAUUCGUGGAUCGUCUCAAAAGAUGACCAGUUUUUUCGACGCGAUUCGUAUGCUGCCAGAAAGAUGGGAGAAAGUAGUGGCCAGCAAUGGACAAUACUUUGAAUCGUAUUUUGAAAUGUAUAACCGGUUUUUCACAAUAAAUCCUCGAAUUUCGGAAAAAAAAAAAACGGCGGAAGCAAAGUUGUACACCUAGGAUUAAUGGAGUUAAAUCAUAAAACAGUUACAUCAUAGCUUUAUAUGUUAAGGGGAUAAAAUUGCAAACAUAUUAAAUUUUAAUAAUGGAGUUAAGAAUAUAAACAUUGGUUAGUGUAAAUAAUUAUAGAGAAAUACAUAACUAAACUUGUUUCCACACGAAAAUAAUUUGAGUCUAUAGAUAAAAUUGUAAUAAAGAACUCGAUUUAAAUUAGUCAAAAGGAAGUUAAAAAGUGAUGCUGAGAAUAUUGUUUAAACAAAAAAAUUAUCCUUUUCUAAAAAAGAUAUGUUAUUUAUUUAUCGAAUGUAUCGAAGUCAUCUCGAAAGUCUCGAAGAAUUGUUGCCUUUAAUCCACGAUGCUGAUUGGUUCUUUCGCUGAGCAUUGAACCGCAUGCUUCGUAGUGUUUGACAGUUGUGUUUGACAGUUGUGUUUUCAAAUCAAAAUUGGUUAUAUCAAAAGUGUGUAAGUAAUAAGAAAAAAAGAAGGAAAGGAAAUAGAUUGGUAGGAGAAAGAGAGAGUUUCGACUUUUGUAGAAAGAAGAAGCAGAAAAGGAAACAGAAGGUGAAACAGCGACUUCUAUAGAAAGAAGGAGCGGAAAAAGAGAGAGAGAGAAAGAGAGUGUAAGAAA